rnacentral:rRNA from 1 species
GGAGGUAGUGACAAUAAAUCACAAUGCGGGACUCAUAGUCUUGCAAUUGGAUUGAGAACAACGUACAACUCUUAUCGAUAAGCCAUUGGAGGGCAAGUCUGGUGCCAGCAGCCGCGGUAAUUCCAGCUCCAAUAGCGUAUAUUAACGUUGUUGCAGUUAAAAAGCUCGUAGUUGAAGUGAGGGAGUGUGUAGUAGGACCGACUUGAUCGGAACUGCUGCAACCUCCCCCCUCCAAUCGGUGUAGUGGGGUAUUCACUUAUUUCACUACUCCUUUGGUCGUUUACUGUGAGAAAAUUAGAGUGUUCAAAGCGGGCGUUUGUUUGAAUAGAUUAGCAUGGAAUAAUGAUUGAAGGCUUUCGUGUUCGAUUUGAUUGGUUUGUUCAUGGAAGCAAGGUUAAAAGGAACAGUUGGGGGUAUUCAUAUUCACUAGUUAGAGGUGAAAUUCUCGGAUUUAUGGAAGAUGAACAAGUGCGAAAGCA